rnacentral:rRNA from 1 species
AUUGAACGCUGGCGGCAUGCUUUACACAUGCAAGUCGAACGAGUGGCGCACGGGUGAGUAAUACAUCGGUACGUGUCCUAUCGUGGGGGCUAACUGAUCGAAAGAUCAGCUAAUACCGCAUACGAUUGAAGCGGCCGAUGCCGGAUUAGCUAGUGGGUGGGGUAAAGGCCGACCAAGGCGACGAUCGGUAGCUGGUCUGAGAGGACGACCAGCCACACUGGGACUGAGACACGGCCCAGACUCCUACGGGAGGCAGCAGUGGGGAAUUUUGGACAAUGGGGGCAAGCCUGAUCCAGCCAUGCCGCGUGCAGGAUGAAGGUCUUCGGAUUGUAAACUGCUUUAAUCAGGGAGGCGGUACCUGAAGAAUAAGCACCGGCUAACUACGUGCCAGCAGCCGCGGUAAUAC